AUUGAACGCUGGCGGCAUGCCUUACACAUGCAAGUCGAACGGCGGCACGGGAGCAAUCCUGGUGACGAGUGGCGAACGGGUGAGUAAUACAUCGGAGCGUGCCCAGUAGUGGGGGAUAGCCCGGCGAAAGCCGGAUUAAUACCGCAUACGACCUAAGGGUGAAAGCGGGGGACCGCAAGGCCUCGCGAUAUUGGAGCGGCCGAUGUCAGAUUAGCUGGUGGGUGGGGUAAAAGCCUACCAAGGCGACGAUCUGUAGCUGGUCUGAGAGGACGACCAGCCACACUGGGACUGAGACACGGCCCAGACUCCUACGGGAGGCAGCAGUGGGGAAUUUUGGACAAUGGGCGCAAGCCUGAUCCAGCCAUGCCGCGUGCGGGAAGAAGGCCUUCGGGUUGUAAACCGCUUUUGUCAGGGAAGAAACGCUUCGAGAUAAUACCUUGGAGUAAUGACGGUACCUGAAGAAUAAGCACCGGCUAACUACGUGCAGCCGCCGCCGUAACAC
rnacentral:rRNA from 1 species